UCCUACGGGAGGCAGCAGUGGGGAAUAUUGCACAAUGGGGGAAACCCUGAUGCAGCGACGCCGCGUGAAGGAAGAAGUAUUUCGGUAUGUAAACUUCUAUCAGCAGGGAAGAAAAUGACGGUACCUGACUAAGAAGCCUCGGCUAACUACGUGCCAGCAGCCGCGGUAAUACGUAGGGGGCAAGCGUUAUCCGGAUUUACUGGGUGUAAAGGGAGCGUAGACGGCAGUGCAAGUCCGGAGUGAAAGCCCGGGGCUCAACCCUGGGACUGCUCUGGAAACUGUAAAGCUGGAGUGCGGGAGGGGCG
rnacentral:rRNA from 1 species